GAUGAACGCUGGCGGCGUGCCUAAUACAUGCAAGUCGAACGCUUCACAUUUGUGAAGAGUGGCGAACGGGUGAGUAAUACAUAAGUAACCUGGCAUCUACAGGGGGAUAACUGAUGGAAACGUCAGCUAAGACCGCAUAGGUGUAGAGAUCGCAUGAACUCUAUAUGAAAAGUGCUACGGGACUGGUAGAUGAUGGACUUAUGGCGCAUUAGCUAGUUGGUAGGGUAACGGCCUACCAAGGCGACGAUGCGUAGCCGACCUGAGAGGGUGACCGGCCACACUGGGACUGAGACACGGCCCAGACUCCUACGGGAGGCAGCAGUAGGGAAUUUUCGGCAAUGGGGGAAACCCUGACCGAGCAACGCCGCGUGAAGGAAGAAGUAAUUCGUUAUGUAAACUUCUGCCAUAGAGGAAGAACGGUGGAUAUAGGGAAUGAUAUCCAAGUGACGGUACUCUAUAAGAAAGC
rnacentral:rRNA from 1 species